GAGUGUUUUGGACCUGUGUCUGCCGGUAGAUCCCCCGUUUUUGUACGGCCGACUACUGGCGCCUUGUCCUGGCUGUUUUGUGGCUUCUGUUACUGUUACGUUUCAAGUGUGUGCAUGCUUGUACCUGAAUCACGGGUAGUGGUGCUUUAAAUUCGGUUGCCGCGCGGUGGACGCCUUUGGGUGUGCUGCUGCGGCCAAAUUGCGAUUGCGGCGUUUCCUUGUUUUUCCGGCACGUUAACUCUGCCUGUGCUAACAAGCCAACCUCGCUUCNGCUGUWGGUCUCGGAUGUUGCCUACGUUGAGAUCUCUUGGCCCAUUUCGGUUGCCUUGACCCGACCCUAGGAAGCUCUCCGAAUUGAGAACAACCGGAACAGGUGUUGCCUCUACCUCUCCACGGUUAGUGGUAGGAUUACGCAACAUUCUGCGCCGAUCCUCAAACAAGUAGGAACGAGCUUAGCCCUCUACGACAACCAGCCCGGCCGACAACCCCGUCUAGACACGCAAGUGGAUGGGCGGAUAAACACCGAGUUGGACCAGCCCGGCCGACAACCCCGUCUAGCCACGCAAGUGG
rnacentral:misc_RNA from 1 species